rnacentral:rRNA from 1 species
UACGGAGGAUGCAAGCGUUAUCCGGAAUGAUUGGGCGUAAAGCGUCCGCAGGUGGCUAUGUAAGUCUGCUGUUAAAGAGUGAGGCUCAACCUCAUAAGAGCAGUGGAAACUACAUGGCUAGAGUGCGUUCGGGGCAGAGGGAAUUCCUGGUGUAGCGGUGAAAUGCGUAGAGAUUAGGAAGAACACCGGUGGCGAAAGCGCUCUGCUAGGCCGCAACUGACACUCAUGGACGAAAGCUAGGGGAGCGAAUGGG